rnacentral:rRNA from 1 species
UACGUAGGGUGCAAGCGUUGUCCGGAAUUACUGGGCGUAAAGAGCUCGUAGGCGGUUUGUCGCGUCUGCCGUGAAAACUCAGGGCUUAACCCUGAGCCUGCAGUGGGUACGGGCAGACUAGAGUGCGGUAGGGGAGACUGGAAUUCCUGGUGUAGCGGUGAAAUGCGCAGAUAUCAGGAGGAACACCGGUGGCGAAGGCGGGUCUCUGGGCCGUAACUGACGCUGAGGAGCGAAAGCGUGGGGAGCGAACAGG